rnacentral:rRNA from 1 species
AUUGAACGCUGGCGGCAGGCCUAACACAUGCAAGUCGAACGAGUGGCGGACGGGUGAGUAAUGUCUGGGAAACUGCCUGAUGGAGGGGGAUAACUACUGGAAACGGUAGCUAAUACCGCAUACCAUCAGAUGUGCCCAGAUGGGAUUAGCUUGUUGGUGGGGUAACGGCUCACCAAGGCGACGAUCCCUAGCUGGUCUGAGAGGAUGACGAGCCAAAUGGGAAAUGAGACACGGUCCAGACUCCUACGGGAGGCAGCAGGGGGGAAUAUUGAACAAUGGGAGCAGUCCUGAGGCAGCCAUGCCGCGUGUAUGAAGAAGGACUUCGGGUUGGAAAGUACUUGCAGCGGGGAGGCGUUACCCGCAGAAGAAGCACCGGCUAACUCCGGGCCAGCAGACGAGGUAAUAC